AUGGCGGCGAACAGAGCAGAGUAUCAGUCCAGUAUCAGUGUAUCCUCAGACUUACCCAGCAUCGUUGUCCGUCCUCUUCAGUACUUUGGAGAUGUGAGUAAGACUGUGUCUGAACUGAGAGAGAAACUAGAAGACUUCCUUAAAGGAGAAUGGACCAAGAUCUCCACUACAGUGAAUAUAGUGGAUGUUGUACUGCCUCCAGAGCCCAAGACCAGAGAACAGUUGUUACAAUAUUCCUGUCAGCUCACACUGGACCCAAACACAGCAGGCACAGACCUCUCUCUGUCUGAAGGGAACAGAAAGGUUACCAAUACAGAACAAGUCCAACCAUAUCCUGUCCAUCCAGACAUAUUCACCAACUACUUGGCAGGUUCUGUGUAGAGAGGGUCUGUCUGGACGCUGUUACUGGGAGGUGGAGAGGACUGGUGAUGUUAUUAUACAGCAGUCUCAUAUAAAGACAUCAGCAGAACAGGGAGAGGUGGUGGAUUUGGAAACAAUAACAAGUCCUGGAGUUUACAGUACAAUAGAGGUGAUUAUUGUUUCAGAACAAUAAUGUUGAGACUAAAGUAUCAGGCCCUCAGUCCUCCAGAGUAGGAGUGUACCUGGAUCACAAGGCAGGUACUCUGUCCUUCUACAGUGUCUCUGACACAAUGACCCUCCUCCACAGAGUCCAGACCACAUUCACUCAGCCCCUCUAUCCUGGGUUUGGUCUCUAUGAUUAUAAUGGUACUGCUGAGCUGGUUAAACUGUAAACUGAUUUGUUAUUAAUUAAAAUUUAAUACAAUGUUUUAAUCUUGUCCAUUUCCAUGAAUCAUGAUGUCUGGUGUUGUUGUAUAUUGGUUGUCAUUCAGAACCAUUGAUAUGUUUUCUCAGUUGGUUCUCUGUCUCUAUGUAAUUCUCCUCAGUAUCAUUGAUCAGCUUGUUGGCUCGGUCCUAAUUGAUGUGUUCUCUGUCACCUGGAGCUGCAUGGAAAAUGGUCCAGGAACUAAAGGACAAUUCAGGACUAGUCAGCCCACUACAAGCUGGUAUCACUUACUUUCUACUAAACUAUAUGGUCUGGUUUCCCAGACACAGAUUAAUCCUAGUCCUGGACUAAACAGUAUGUUCAAUGUAGAUGUCCAGGAAACCGGCCCUAAAUGUGUCAUCUUUCAUCCUCCCAUACUGCUCAGUCCAGCAACAUUAAACCUGUCCAGCAGGUGGUGCUGUUGACCAAACAAUAAAACCAGCAGAUAUCUUGACUUGCCACUCAGUAUAUCAGUAAUGUUCAGAAUAGUACUUUAAUAUCAUUGGAGAUUGAUGGUCUUUUUAAUCCACUAUCCAGAGUCAGGAACAGAUGAAGUUAGGUCUGCUACUGUUCAGUGAUUAAAUAUGAUUUAUGGUGAUGGGAAAUAAUAAAAAACACUCAACUUCA